CCCCGAUUCGUGCAUCUGCCCCAUGUCUCCCCGAUUCGUGCAUCUGCCCCAUGUCUCCCCGAUUCGUGCAUCUGCCCCAUGUCUCCCCGAUUCGUCCCAGUCAGCAGGGAGCCUGUGCACUGCUUCCAUCAGCUGUCUGAAGGGCUUUUCCUUUUGUAUCAUGGUUAUUGAGCCAUACAUUUUGCUAAAGCCAGGAAGUACAGAGGUGGCCUUCUAAAUUUUAAGACCUUACUUUAUUAUCUGAACUUACACAGAUAUAAAUACUGGUUAAAUCUGGUACUGUAUGUGCACACAAACAUUUUAUAUCCUGGUGUUAUAGCACACUAGAAGCAGAACAUUUUUUUCAAAUUAAUGACGUAAUGUCUUUAUCCAGAGGCUGACAUAACUUCUGAAAGCAUGUUUUAGAGAAUAUAGGCUGAGCAGCAUAAGAGCUCUCUCUCAAGCACUGCGGAGAGAUCAUACAACAUGGGAGCAAUACGGUUUGACCUUCAGAUUCUCUUGUGUUCUCAUAUUCCAGCUACAGUCAUUCCAAAAAACCUUAGGAUUUACUUUUGAGUUGAAAAGUGGUUUCAGCACAAUCUAAAGACAGAACACAUUAACAUGAUGUGGAAUAACACUAUGUUGUCAUGCAUCAUGCAAUAUCUGAUAGCGUUCUUGUUUAGCAGGAAGCUGAAAUGGAUCAGAGCACUGUUUACUGACUGUGCUAAAAACAUGUGUCUUCUUGCUGAGCAUCAGGACCAAGAGAGUGGAGAAGAACAUGAGAAGAAUAAAGAGACAAAAGAGACAAAAGCCUGGAAGGGAUGGGAGGCCCUGGGGAAAAGGACAGGCUCAGGCUGUUGUCCAGAAUUUGACUCUGAAUCUGCUCGAAGAUUACAGCUCAUCAGAGAGGUACUAGAAGAAACAUCUUUUCUCUGA
rnacentral:lncRNA from 1 species